GUUGCGAACCUCUCGCGUUUCGCCAUGCCGUCGCCGACCCUACAAGUCUGAGUGGUUAUUAUUAUAUUUUGUAAAAUUGUAUUCGUACACGAUACCGUUAUACUUUACGCCCGACCAUAAUAUACUAUAUUGUUAUUGACCACGGGGUCGACGUUUUAAUUUGCCACCGUCGCGACGUUGACGAUUUCCGUUCGAAUUUUAUCGUGAAUUUGUUUUUACCUCCAUAUUAUUAUAUUAUAGGCACACGUGUGCGCGUGACAAUAAUAUUACUAUACCGCACUCGUCGUGUAGGUACACGCCGCGUUACUCUGAGAACAGGUUUACCCAAAACACAUAAUAUAUAUUCAAAUACGCUCGUCAAGAUGGGCGUUGGUCAUUCGAACAGACAAGAUCGCUCGUGUCCUUUGGAUGGUGAUGUAAACUUUGAUCACUUUGAAAUUUUGCGAGCAAUCGGUAAAGGCAGUUUUGGGAAAGUGUGUAUAGUGGAGAAAAAAAAUUCUCGUCAAAUGUACGCAAUGAAGUACAUGCAGAAGAGUCGUUGCGUUGAAAGGGAUGCCUUAAAAAAUGUACUACGAGAAAUGGAAAUAUUAACCACGCUCGAACAUCCGUUCCUGGUAAAUCUAUGGUUCUCUUUUCAAGACGAGGAAGACCUAUUCAUGGUUUCAGACUUGUUAUUGGGUGGUGACCUGAGGUACCACUUGGGUCAAGACGUUAAGUUCGGCGAAAAUUCAAUCAAACUGUUUGCGUGCGAAAUUGGCUCUGCGCUGGAAUAUUUGCAAAGCGAGCAUAUAGUUCACAGGGACAUAAAGCCGGAGAAUAUUCUGCUGGACGAAGAAGGUCACGCACAUAUUACCGACUUUAAUAUAGCAGCUACACUACGUGGAAAAAAAUUAGCGUCAUCGCUGUCCGGCACCAAACCUUAUAUAGCACCAGAAGUGUACUUAUGCUCGUUGGGCGAAUGCGCUGGAUACUCGUAUCCCGUCGAUUGGUGGUCACUAGGCGUCACACUUUAUGAAGUCAUGUCGAGGUGCCGACCGUACGACAUCCAUUCUGGUACAACACCGAGGGAAGUUCGGUCUAUGGUGAUGAAUUCGACGUCGUCCACGGCAAUACCACCGAAAUGUUCAGAACAAUUGAGCGUAUUAUUCCAAAGACUGCUGUGCAUUAACCCGGACGAGAGAAUCACCACGGUCAAGAAACUGAAAUCCAUUCCGUGUAUAAGUCGAUACAAUUUCGGAAUGAUAUUAGAAAAACAAAUCAGGCCACCGUUCACGCCGCCGAAAGACAGGCUGAAUUGUGAUCCGACGUUUGAACUGGAAGAGAUGAUAGUCGAACCCAACCCGCUGCAUCGAAAGCCCAGACGGUUGGCAAAGCAAAGGUCACUGAGAACUUCCAUGACAAUAGAAGACACAGAGACUAGCAGACAACUUCAACAUUUUAAAUGCUAUAAUCGCGAGAAGGAACUUGAAAGGCGAGAAAUGGAACGCAAGGAACACGACUGGGAGCAGGAGUUGAUUAAAGCUAUGAACGCUUCUACCAUACCAGCGAUCGUACCGGCCAUGGUGACGGACAGGGAUGGAGGGGGUGAAUUGCUGACGGUGCCCAUGAUGACGACUGAACGCCGGCGGUCCAGUUGCAAGCUGAACAUCUCGCCGGUCAGCAUCCAGACCAGACUGUUUUCCGCGCAGGCCGAUACCGGAAGCUGAUACAAUCACGAGGAGCAGGGCAAUUGAAUUAUGCCACCGGAAAUCUACUGGCCGUCACGAUUUUAUUAUUAUUGUUUUAUAUAUUCCGCCUCCUCCUAAUCGACGCGUGGGCCUAACAAAAACAACAACAACAGCAAGUACAUCGAUGAUGAUGAUGAUGAUGGUGAUGAUAAUAAUUGUUCGAGCCAUGGACAUUUUGUUACAAUAUAACCCGUAAAUACUGUACGCGACAUUAUGAUAUUGUCGUAAUUACAAUAUUAUUUUGUUAUACUUAAGCGUCUGCUUCGUCACGACUGUCUAUCCGUUAUAAAUCAUAAUAUUAGAUGUAUAUAGGUAUAGUAAGUACUGCGACAGAGCUAAACCAAAGUGAUAUUUUUUAGUUUUGCUAUAUCUGCAUUGUUCGUUCUGUAUAAGCCAUAACGGUAUUAAAUUAUAAUACAUAAGAUUUCCCCUCACAGACACAACGCAAGUGUUUUCCGAAAAAUUGUGUCUAUAUAUAGGUACUUUAUAAUAUGAUACAUACUAUCACGUAAUAUUAGAAAUCUAAAACAAUUAAAAUAGGUUAUCUACACUUAAAUAGCUUAUUUGUAGAGUUAUAUUAUUAUAUUAUUAUACAUCCUGAUUGAACAAUGCCGUGCUAACUUUCAUUGGCGCCCCACGGCAAUAAUAUUUUCCGCCCCUAUAUAUGUACUUUGCAGCCCUAGGGAACUUUCCCAAUUUUCCCUCCUCCCCAUUGGCACGGAUCUGUCAGAACACCACGGUGUUUUCCCGUUCUCCUUUGUUGUGUUCACUCUGUAUAAUAAUAAUAUAAUAAUAUAUUGUAUUUUGUACACUUAGUAAUAGACGUGUAGCGCAGUAUAAUAAUAUUUUAGGUAUAAUACUUGUUCAUUAUUAUUAUUAUUAUUAUAUAAUAUUGUUAUGUUACAGUUAAAUACUUUGAACGUGUGGUUUGUAAUGUUUUUACGGAUCACUAUUCAUCAAUGGUUAAAACAACGAAGUGUUAACUCUGAACCAAAAAUUACUAACAAUCUAAUUAUUGAAAUAACUUAGUCCAACCCAAGUACAAGCCAUGCGUUUAAUGUACUGGUCAACAGAUACUGCCAAAUGUCAGUAUAUGUGUUUGCCAUUGUCUAACGCAAUGUAUACUCAUUGAAUAAAGUAUCAAAAUAUCAAGUAAUGGCAUAAUAUGAUAUUAACCUAAUUUAAUAUGAUAAUAUUAUAUUGAGAUAAUCAUGUUCAAUUAACGACGGCCAUUUUGGUCGCUGUUAAUCAACGUGUUCAAAAUAUUUAAAUAAAUUGACGUGUAAAUAUUGUACUCGCGUAUUUGAACGUAUAUUAUGCUCACGUCUACUUUAAUUAAGCAACCUAUAUCAACAGUAACAUAAUAUUUUAACCACGCACGUUGUGGGUUUGAAGUGAAAAGGUUCCAUUUCGGUUUGUUUUUCAACAAAAUCCAGUUGUAUAGAGACGCAUAUUCUGUACUGUAUACAUUUUCGAUCAAAAACUAUGUUAUUAUAGCGGUCAUUGAACAAUAUUAUUAAAUUAAUUAAUUAUAUUUUUAAUGGUUCUAUAGAACAGUCGAUAGAUACAGUUAAUAGUUUAAAGUUGGAAAAGAGAUUUUUUUUGAAAUAAAUAUAAUUUAGAAUACAGUGUUUUGAGUUCUCACACUAAUAAAUACCGUUAUGAUAAUAUAUUACUAUAAUAUUGUUUAAAAAUAAGACAGUUCCAUUAGAUAGAAAUAUUUCAGUCUCAGCGGAAAUUGUUUUUUUUUUUCUUAAUGAUUAUCGACAGCUAUCUAUAACAUAUUUUUCAACCCUAUUUUUACAUUGGGUUGCUACAAUUUAACAUAAUAUAACAUUUAAUGUAUUGUGCAAUAUGUAUAAAAAAUACCGAUUUUGAGACCUUUCGUUCCAAGCUCACUUUAUUAUUAUCCGAGGGUAAAAAUAAAAUUCAAUCAAAUUUUGUGUCGUAAGCACUGCCAAAAAAAAAAAUCAGACGAUAGUACUAUAUAGACGAAGAGAAAUAUUGCAAUGUUGAAAAAACAAUGUGUCUUAUAAUAGUUUAUGGUGAGCUUUGUUGAAUUCGGAUAUUAUAUUAUUAAACGAAAACUUUUGCCACCUCCGCAAUAUGAUUUAAUCUCGGCAAACCAGAGAGUAAAAAAUUAAUAUCAAAGUCUCAGCGUUUUAUAUUUGAAUAAAAACGUUUACAUUUUUUGUAAAAACAGAACGCGUAUAAAUUAUGAAAAAUUAAAUAAUAUUAUCAAUUAUUGAAAAUACUAUACACUCAUCAUUUGACACAUUUCGUUUUAAUAAAUCUGUAUACAUUUUCUAGUUUCAUGCGAUUAAGAUUCCACAAUAAUCAUCCCCACGCAAUAAUACUAUUGGAAUUCAACACUGCGGCAAUGCGAGAAAUAAUAAUUUAUUGUUAAUGCGAAUUUCGUUUUCGUUUUUUAUUCAAAUAUUCCACAGUGCAAUAUGUUGAUAGGCACACACGUGUUCCUCCCCCUACCGACGUAAAAACCUACAAAAACAAAAAUAGCUAAUGACCUUAGUUACCGGGCUUAAGAUCAAUUAAAAAAAAAAAAAUAUGUUGAUAUAAUGAGUUUAUAAACUAAGUACAAUUAUUAUUCGUAUUGUAGCGUAUUUAUUUUGUUUUGUUUUGUUUUUUUUUUUAAUUGUAAACAAAUAACUUUUUGUACAUUUAACAUAAUUUAGUUAUAUUUAUAGGGAAAUGAAAGUAAAUUAUUUCUUAUUUUGUACGACUUUCAGGGUUAUUAUUAAGACGAUCAGAAAACUGUGUCUGUUAUAAUAAUAUUUUAAUCACAAAAUAAAUAAUUGUGACAUUUUGUACAAUCCCUAAAAGUCAAAUUAAGAAGAAAAAAUACAUAUUCUGUAUAGAUCAUUAAAAAUCUGUUAUGUCGAAUGUAUAUUAUAAUGUAUACGAUAUAUUAUAACGUAUAUUAAAUAGAUGUACAUUAUUUUAUCAUUCCUACUAUUUAGGGCGUAUAGAAGUGUAAUUAUUUUAAAAAUACAGGUAAUUAAAAACGAUAUAUUAUCAUGGUACCUAUCUUUAUAAUUUCAAUAAAUGUAUAUCAUAAUUGAUUUGAAUAAAAUAGAAUAUUAAGUAUUUUAUAUUAUAAUAAUAUUAUAUUUACUUCCCAAUUACCAAUA